CUAGCGACUUCAGAGUUUGAUCCUGGCUCAGGAUGAACGCUGGCGGCGUGCUUAACACAUUCAAGUCGAACGGACAGUAGCAAUACUGUUAGUGGCGGACGGGUGAGUAACGCGUGAGCAAUCUGCCUAUGUGUGAGGGAUAACGUGUGGAAACGGACGCUAAUACCUCAUGACGCAUUUUUUAACGCAUGUUUGAAAUGCCAAAGAUUUAUUGCACAUAGAUGAGCUCGCGUCCCAUUAGAUAGUUGGUGAGGUAACGGCCCACCAAGUCGACGAUGGGUAGCCGGACUGAGAGGUUGAACGGCCACAUUGGAACUGAGAAACGGUCCAG
rnacentral:rRNA from 1 species